UGCGGUGUCCGCAGCAACUCACAACGUUCCCCCUCGUUUCGGUUUGGCUUGGUGUGGUUUGAUUUGGUUUCGAUUGGUUUGGUUGGGUGGCACAUGCCAUAAGCACAACUCCUGCCCUGCCCUGCCCUGCCCUGCACUCCACUGCACUGCACUGCACUGCACUGCACUGCACUGCACUGCUUUGCCGUGCCCCCUGUGAUUGCGGUGCUGAGUGGCGCCAGUAGCACCAAACAUCGUCACGCUGGAGGCCAAUAGCAAGACCUCAACCCGUAGAAAAUUUGUCUUUACUUGUUGUUGGCGAUGUUGCAGUUGUUGUCAGACAGACGUUGUGGAUUUUUAUCGGCAACGAGAUCGUAGCAGCAGCAGCCGAAGCAGCCUCAUCGUGUGGUUGCCCCCUUUGGGGUCUCCUGCUGGGAGGCAGCAUUGUUGUGGCAGAUGCCGCCUCGAUGGUUUCUGGUUUUUCUUAUACUUUUCGGAUUGUGCUUCGUCUGGGUCCGCCGUUCGUUCCUCGAAAAUAAAAGAGCGGUAAGAGUGUAAGAGCUGCGAUGUCAUUGCAUCUCCGUCUGUGGCCGGGGAGGGACCAUGGCAGAACAUUGAAGAUUGCCAGAAUGGCCAUCAAUUAGUGUUCGCCGGUGUCGUCGAAGUCGUCGAAGUCGUCGAAGUCGUCGGAGAUCCGUUCCUGAUGGCAGAAAGAGUGUUUUUCUGUUGCUCUCUUGAUCUGUGUUUGUGUCGAGCUCUGUAUUCUCUUUCCAAGGCUCAUAUACAAUUAUUGGAUUUGCUCCGGAUAAUGGAUAAUAGAUAAUAGUUUCCUCUAUGAAGUACAUAUAUAUGUACAUACAUAUAUACAGACAUGCAUAUGUUCGAUAAUAUGUUCAUACACGCUAGAGCCCUACAUGAACCGGCAUUCGGUAUUUGGCAUUUGGUAUUCGGUAUUCGCUUCGUUCGGUACGUUAGAAUGAACGAUUCAGCUUUCCCACAACCUCGAACCGCAGGUAUCGUCCUUUUUACUGUGUCAUAUGCGAAAUCUUCGGUUUUUUUCUCCAUUUCUCUCCAUUUGAUUUUCUGGUAGAGAGAACGAGAAAGCAACGCACAAGCUUGCUAGUUUUGUAUCUCUCCUUCUGCCUGAAAAUAUGUAUUUACACUGAAAAAAAACAAUUUUCAGAUAUCUGUAGCAAGAGAAGGUUUAGCUCGCACUCGGUUUUUAGUGAUUCGGGGUGAUCCGAAUAUGACCGAAGGCAGAAUCCGUUAUGAUCGAACGCAUUAAAGGGGCACGCAUCAUUUUCCUUUAAGUAUACAUAUGUAUUUCAUACAAAUGUUAUACAUACUCAAGGUAUACCUGUUUAAAUCCAGAUCAACUGGAUUUAAUACUUUCAACUUAGACAUGGGUGUGUUGCUUUUUACCUCGCCAUUUUUCUCUGAGUAUACUCGCUCAUCCCUUCGACCAGGACUCUAUGGCGAACGUCUGGUGGCCACCACUGAAGCUCUCCGCUGCCACUGCCGCUGCCGCUGCCGCCGUUGUCUGUGCUGCGCCCCGGACGAGUGCUCGAUAUGGUGAUGGAUAUGCGUGCAGCAUAAUCAUAAAGUCGCUUUGAUCUUCUGUCUGUGCUGUCUUGAAAUAAAUGAAAUGACUCAGACUCAGGGCAUACACGGGCAUACAGUGGCAUUUUACGUAAGGUACACACGGGCAGCGGGACAGACCGGGAACUGUUCGGCGGAGCUGGGGCUGCCGGAAAUGUCAUAAGCAUCCGAGAGCUGCAGAAAGGAGCGCGAACAUGGGUGGAGUCGGGGCAGAAGCAAAUCUCCUUGAACGGUCGGCAGUUCAGAUACAGCGAUCUGAUGUCUUCAUCAUCUGGACAAGACCCGUAAUUUCGUCUAGAUGGCCACAUCAUCAUCACCAUCUCCACCAUCUAGCACUCAACUCCACUGCGACUGCUUGGGCGGCUGGUUCUACGCGCCCGGAGGCCAAUUAGCCAAAGGAGAUCGUUAGUCGUCUCUGACGGUCAUUAGCGAAUUGUCUUAACGAUCUGUACAACCAAUUGCCUGCCAAUUUAUCUAGUUAAUUAUACGAAUUUUCUAUAGUUAGAAUAGCCGUCUUCCUCCGUCCAUUCGAACUGAAUAUGAAUACGAAUACGAAUAUGAAUGUGAAUAUGACAUUCGUCCAGCCUGUACCCGCCACCUCAAGAUGAUUGUUGGUUUCUGUUUCUCUUUUGGUUUUUUUUUCUUCGGUAUUUUGUUUGGCUUUCGUCGUCGGCGACUAAUUGAAUUUGAUAAAAAGCCAGCGAAUGCUUUUAAUUGACCAAACACUCACUCACACACUCGCCAAUUAUCCGUUGAUAACCGAACGGGGGCAGAUAAUGCGUUUCCACAGUCCCAGCUAUUCGCUUCGAUUAAAUAACGCUUAUGUGGAGUGGAGUGGAGUGCGCUCCACUUCCGCAAGUCGAAUGCCGACUGCCGAAAGCCACUCCAUUUCCGUCUCCGUCUCCGUGUCCGUGUCCAUGUCCGCACACACAACACACUAUGGUGCACAAUGGUCUUUGCAAGUUCUCCUUCUAAUCAAGCAAUGAACCCAAUUGAAGCCAACAGCACUUCGAGGCGUUUCGAAGCCUCGGAGCUCAACUCACGCAUCCAGGAGUCAGCUCCCCCAUUUCCAUCUACCGAAGCUUGCAGCGCAGCAGCCGCAGCUGGUGGCAUGGUGGCAGCAAGGAACGGACACGUGAGGUCAGCUGGCAGUUGAGGUCGGUAGCUGCCACAAAAUCCUUCUCGGCAGAGGAGGUUAGCUCACCCAUUUUCAUCUUCGGCAGCGCGGGUCGCAGCAGGCACAGACGAAUUCGUGGUCGGACCAUGCCACGCAAUCUUCCGGCAGACAGCUCUUCCUCAAGCAGCUCCAGCCCGAACUCCUGCGUCCGCGAAAAAGCGUCAAAGGGUCAGGAUCCACGAAGAGAUGCUCCCAUUUCAGCAAAUUGUCCAGGACGAGGAGACCUACCGCAGGCGUUGCGGCAUAAGCCUCCAGCGCAUCGGCAGCUCUUGUCAUAAGCCGCUGCCCCAACCGUUGAGGUAAAUUCUGGAAACGCCCUUCAGCGGGCACAUGCGCGGAAUACUGGAGCAACGCGGCGUGAGCCUGUAGAGCCAAGAGCCUGGAGCCAAUCCUGGCUGUCAUCCAGCAUAUCCUGGCCCAGCUCCCUCAAUAGACGAUCGCUUUAAUCCUCGUGCCCGUCCGCGACACGAUCCUGAAAGUACCAAAGACGGUGAGUGCCUACGCCGCCCCAUGAAAUUCGCACCAUUUGCUUGAUCACGACCGAGGAGAGCAAGACGCAGCUGUACGAUGAUCAGGCAGGCUGCGCUCUGAUGGUGAGCACUCCCUAGGACCUGAUCUGCGGCCUGGAGGACCACCGCUUCAAAGUAAACCUGGACCGAUCAACCUAUCCUGUGGUGAACGGAGCUGACCGCAUGCUGGUUUCGGGAUUCGGAGACCAGCUGUCUCGCAUCAUCGCCCAGGCAGGCGACGACGCGCAGAUGCUCUUUUGGACGGUAGACUGGUCACCUGAGAGAACGGUCAUCGAUAAACCCGGUAACAUCCUUAUCCAUACUGAAAGCCAGAGUCACGUCAACUAUCUAGGCCUGUCGGGGCCUCCACGGCGGCAAGGGCCAGUUUGGGCGGGAGCAGGCCCUUCGCGACCUUCGCGACCUUCGCACCAAACAGUUCACUAUCCUCGUGGUUACCCACAUCAGGUGGCGCGGAUUCGAGCUUCCGUCCUUCAAGUUUGUCUUCAACUACGACUUUAUAUGUAUUAGAUCUCUCGCUCUCACUGCAUGCUUUUCCCAUGCAGCUGUGUCUGUUUUUGCAGCUAUUCUGUCAGCAAAGCUACUAGGAACACUAGCUUCGUUAGAGAUGCUACCAUGCUUGAGACGUACACAAAGAACCCCACAGCUUACGGGUAUAUGGGACAGCUUAUGUGUAUAUAAUGACCGACGGACUCAUGUAGUCUUCUGUGUGUGUCCAUUGGCGAGUCUUUCGGUACAGUACACUUGUAGUUGUUAAGUAUAUUAGAGACAGAAAAAGAAUAUAUACAGCAUACAGCAAUCUAUGCAUAGAUUGCAUAUGUACACAUAUGUAUCUACAACAUCAUGUCAUACAAGUGCCAAGGAAACUGAAAGUUUCUGAAGGAUCUAAACGUUUUUUUCUUUAGCUGGGCUUCUGCCGAGUCUACAGAUGUACGUGCAUACGUAAAUACGUACCAAUGUACAUAUGUACAUACCUACCUAUGUAUGUAUGUUUUAGCAGUGCGAUAUGCUGCUGCAGAAUCAUUGAUAUCUGGCUCGUAUCAUCGCUCAUUGCCUACUGUCCGGUUAAUAUAUGUAUGUAUGUGAAUGUAUAUACAUACAUAUGUAGGUCACGUCAACCCUGCUCCAUUGAUUGCUGAAGUUAUUUGGCUGUUGUGCGAAAGCAAAUGGAAAUGAAUCAAAAUUCAUUAGUGCUGAAUUUAUUGUGUGAUCGAAUAUCUCUCUCUGAUCUAUCGGGUUGGCUGAUUGCGCUGCAAAGGAGUGUAUAUCGCUCGUAUAUCGCUGCCCAAUCGCUGCUCAAUCGCUUUCCGAGUGGCCAGUGUUCAACACAGGUGGCUGACAGCACAGGGGCCACAGCUGGACUGGGGCUGGGACUGGGACUGGGACUGGGACUGGGACUAGGAGUGGGAGUGAGACUGUGACUGUGGCUGGAGGUGAGGCCAGGCCAUGUCCAAUCCGAUUUUGACUUUAUUAACGCUGCAAUUUGUAGCGACCACUGGCAGUCCGGACGGGAACGGCAGUCAGAGUCAGAGACAGAGACAGAGACAGAGCCAGAGCCAGAGACAAAAUUCAAAAACUCCAAGCGAUUAUUAUUUUUUGCUGCGCGUGCUGGCCCCAGCAAUCCCCCCACAAAUUGUAUGCUAAUCGCUUGGACCUGGACCAAGCAGACCCAGCCAAUUGGCUGCUGUCUGAAGUGGACCUCGGCCUGGACCUGGACCUGGACCUGGACAUGGACCCGAUGUGUCAGUCUGGGCGGGGCGGGGCGGUGCGGUUGUCGGGAAGUGUGUCUGAUUUAUGGAGUGUCGCUGACUAUUUUGAGCUCUUCGGGGCGCUUGUCCGGGAGUUGGAAAAAGCCCAUUCUAGGGGCGGGAGAGCGUGACCAGGACUCGCCGAAGCACUCACGAUCUAUGCAUGUUCCAUAAGGCGAAUCAAUUUCUAAAUUUAUAAUUGCCUCUGCCUAUAAGCGGCAAGGUCAGUGGAAAAGCGGUUCUAGGAGAAGUCUAGUCUGCGUCAUUCAGUCAGCACCAAAACGGAAAUCAAUAGAACAAUCGUUUAAUCGAUCAACAGAGUGACUCAUCGCUGACAAGUCUGCUCUGGCCACACUCCAUUUGCUUUCACCGACCAAUCCACAAUCCGUAAUUUGCAAUCCGCGGGGCUGAAACGGAACCAUGGAGAUUAAGAGCCAUGUACUCCAUGUACUACUCCAUAGACCACUACAAAUGCCAGUCGCUUGGAGGUGGAUGUGGAACUUAAAACUUGGACUUGGACUUGGACUUGGACUUCAAAAGGCCAGACCGCCUCCUCCCAGGUCGCCUGUUCCCACGCAACUUUGAUGCGUGCCUGAUGAACGCCGGUGAUGCCACCAUUUGUCGACGGUCAACAGCCAGUGCCAAAACGGUAACGAUGGCAACAAAGGUACCAAAGCAUUUCGCAUCCACAAAUAUUGCGAAUCGAAAAGCCAAAUAUGAAAAACCGCACAGCAAACACCAACAGAAACCAGAGAAACUGCGGCCCGUCCGUGUGGAUUGUCGUGUCAACAUCGUCAAUGUGCCAGGUCCAGGCCCCAAAUCACAAAACGCAAAGCCCCAAAGACAAGCCAAGCCAAGCCAAGCCUAGCCAAGCCAAGAUCUUGGAGUCACGUUUGUUUAAUAAAAUUAAUAUUUACAUAUGUUCCGUAUUUACACACAACAAAUGCUCCACUCCAACCCAACGACGACAAUGACGAUGCCUCCGUUUUGUUUGGCCAAAAGUGGACAAAUAGCCAAAUAGACUCGGCCAGAUCCAGACUCGGCAUGGCCAGGCAAUUUGCACGAUCCGAGCGGAGAUCCCCAGUUAGCCACCGCCAGCACGCACCAUAACUCGUCCGUGAUGAUAUCUCUCUCUGUCUGUCGGUAAAGGCGGUUUCGUGAUCAGAGAUCCGUGAUCCGUGAUCCGUGAUCCGUGAUCCAUUGGAGAAACUUAAAAGGAGCCAGAAAUGAGGUAACUGUGAUGCAUUCAAUGCCUGAUUUGGUAAAGGACAAGCAUAGUGGCGCCGGCUUACUAUUUUGCACUGCUCAUCAGCAUUAGUGAUCACUCUGCACCAAAAUUGGAGCAAUUUAAAUCGUGAUCUGAUCCAGAAGUCAACUGUGAAGACUAUUGGGAUUAUCUGUUCUACAUCAAAUGAACAUCAUUCUGAGCCAUAUCUGCGAGAUUGAGGAUUACAAUUUGCACAGUAUCUACGUUUGCACAGUUUUCUUCAGUUUUCAGCUGUUCGAUGACUAUCACAUCGAAUGCAAAUCGUUCACGAUUACUUUCCCUGAUUAUAAAGAUAUAAAGCUUCAGUAUACAUAAGCUGAACAAAAUAAUGAUCUCAGUUCUGAGAUAAGAACUACUAUAGCUGUGUCGGACUCAAUACGAAUCAUUCACCUUUUAAGAUUAAGACGUACACUGGUAAAUCGAUGCUGAGAGUCACCGUAAUGUACGAAAUGGACGCUAAUGGAUCUGGUAACCAAGAUCUGAGAUCUAAGUAUCUAAGCCAUAAACUCGACAAUUAUUCCACCGUUGCUCUAUUUUUUUGAUGUUGGUAUUUUGGCUAUUCCAAACAGGAAACACACCAAAUCGGACAAGCGCGACAAACAGAUCUCGACAUUUGUGGCUUGUUCUGGCUCUGACUCUGAUUCGGGUCUAUUUCGAUGUACGAGUAUUUCUAUUUCUGUUUCGGUUUCGGUUUGGGUUUCUUUAUCUCCAUCUGUAAAUCCAUCUGCAUCUGUAUCUGUACCUCUUGAUGUUGUUUCUGGUGCUGUGCAAGUAUUGUGUCAGUCUCGCUCUUACUUUGGGGGCAAAUACUUACUCGAGCACAUGGACAGACUCCAAUUUGGCCACAGUCUAAAUUCAAGUUUAUAACUAAAUAUGCGCCAACUAAUAGGUACAACUCAUUGUUGGUCCGUCUGGUGCUGGUGCUUGCCUGGGACUAGGGGUGGUGGGGUCUCUCUCUCUCUCUCUCUCGCUCUCUCUCUCUCUCUCUCACUCUCUCUCUCUCUCUCUCUCUCUCUCGCUCUCUCUAUCUCUCUGUGUGUCUCCGGCUAACCUCGAUUGCGUUUGCCACAUUUUUAACAACUUCACCCACAUUCAAAAUUCGUUUUGGCUUUGGCCCCAGCAACAACGACAACAACAACGAGAACAGCAACAACACCACAACCAGUUCAGCUUGGUUCGGUUCAGCUUUUGGUUUUGGCAUCGAAUUUUUUGCCAGCUUCGGCGAUAGCCAAAUAGCCAUCUAACUAUAGAAAGACUUCUGCUCUGGUUAUUGUUAUAGCCAAACUGCAACGCCUUAUUAGCCCUGGAAGGGUACGAAUACGUGUAAGAUCUACAGCCGUUGUUAAAGCUAAUGGUUUCCGCAGCAGAUUUAUGUGCAAGCAUACUGUAGUUAUAUUUCAUCCAUAUGAUAAUGACAAAGGCAAUAACACUAAAACUUGUAAAAUUGUGUGAAAACAUCUUUUGAAUUAUCCAAAUUACAUUUGAUAACCAUUCUUGCGGCUUUUAAUAGACUUAACUUCACAAAUGAAGUUGGCUUCAUAGUUGGCAAAACGGUUGGUGCUGGUCAAGAAAAUAUGUCGGUAUAUAUAUGUAUGUAUAUGUAUUAUAUACAUACAUAUGUACGUGUGUAAAUAUGUAAGUACUUAAUAGGGUAAUACAAUAAUAAGGUUAUAUCGAACAACACAUCAGUUGCGGAGCUAAUCAGCUUUGGGCUACUCGAAUUUCAAGAACACACUUCGAUUUCCCAUCGAAUGACUUAUCCUAUUUAUGCCAUGAGCUUAAAUACCAUUUCCAAGCGCGUUCGCUCCGAACCAAGCGCAUGUUUCCGUUCCUGUUUUCGCCCGCAAUCGUCAUCGGUGAUCGCAUUCUGAGUGAUCUCAUCGAGACCUAUCGAUGCUGCUGAUCGAAUCGCCUCUCCAAUGGUCCCAUGGUCGCAGAGGUUUCCCACACACCGAAAGAGUUGGGAUGUCGACAGAGCAACAAACUUUUGGGCAAAAUAUAAAUACUCGUAGAUAACAGCAACAGCAACAGCAACAGCAGCAGCAGCAUACACACUAACAAAAAAGCCUUCUAUGGGCAUUAUGGAAAUACCGUUAAUCGUCGCCCGGCCAAGAUCAGAAGACCUCCGAGCAGGUGAGCGAUAGUCGCUCUCAGAUCGAUGGAUCGAUCAUUGUGGUUAAUGUUGUUGUUGAGGCUGUUUCGCUUGUGCAGAAAUCAUUUGCAAGCGAAUACACUGAUCGAUCUAUCAUUGCCAAAGCCAAAUACGAUUAUGCAUUGUGUAUUGUGUACAUAGUACAUACAUAGUAUGUAUUUAGGCAUGUAUGAUGUGGGUAGAGGAAGUCGUUGCCGCUGAGAACCUUGAACCCAGGAGAGACAACAGACACAAAACACAAAAGAAACGUUGGAAAUAUGAUUUUGAAUGGGAUUUUUUGAUUGAGCUCUGAGCGGAGUGGGACGGCAGGCCCCGAGUGGAGCUGAACUCAGCUGAACCGAACCGAACUUAGAUGAGAACGGAGCUGAGAGCCUCAAGCAGAGAGCUGCUUAGAGCCAAAAGCGGAAACCAAAAAGCGGAGUUGCUUUGUGGGACUAAUCGAUGAAGGCAGUCAUUGACAAUGCAAAAACAGUUGGAAAUCCGCUUACCAGAGCGCACAAUUUCUGUGUGUUUGUGUAAUUGCACAAAUCAACUUUUGUUCGUUAUUUACUUAUUUCAGUUUGGCCUAUUGUAUACCCUUGCAGAGAGUAUUAUGAUUUUUACAACAUGUGUGCAAAGCCCUCUAAGGGCUCGCGCACACUAUAGCUGAAAGCGGAGCUGAAAUCGGCGCCGAAAUCAGAGCUGAAAGCUCAGCUGAUCUGAGAGCUUUUUUCAGGCAGAAUCAGCUUGCAGGUGCGUACAUUGUCGGCUGAUCUGAUUGCUGAAAGCUAAAAGCCACUGCGAAUUAAUAUUACAUUUUUCAAUUAUUAUUUAUUUUGUAUAAUAAUAAACAUUGUGAUGUCUUUCGAGCGUUUACUGUACUUGGGGACAUAGUAUAUUAUAUUUAUUAUUGACAUAUGAAAAUGGUAAUAAUAAAACUUUUUUGCCCAAUUUA